GUGUGCUCUUUCUGGAUCCUGGAGACCUCCUCCAUUAACUGGACGAUUCUGCAUGCCCUACCCUAGAAACGCCCCACCCCCAUGGACUAUUAGGCACAUCCACCUCCUGAACCUUGGUGGCCCUGGGGCCACCCAAAACCCCUCCGCCUGCAACACUUGGCGUCUCUUGUGGAGAAGGAAUGGGGCCGUAUGCAGAAAAGCAGACAUAGCGCUUCAGCAGAAAUGCCCUGUACACAGUCCACAUGCUGGGAUCUGUGAGGCAUGAGGCACAACGUA